GCUUUUUGAAACGGGGCCCCGAAGAGACUUCGACCUGGCCGGUCUUGUGGAGUGAGAGUCAGAGGCCAGCACAGCAACCAGCCAGAUCAGGGCAGGCCAGAGUCCACAUCACAGCUGUAGGACUGCAGUGCAGAACCCCCAGCCACUGGGACAAGGGUGAUCACCACGGCAACAACCCCAGUCCAAGCAGGCAAAGCUCCUGGUGCGAAGGAUCCCCAU